rnacentral:rRNA from 1 species
UACGAAGGGAGCUAGCGUUGUUCGGAAUCACUGGGCGUAAAGCGCACGUAGGCGGUUUUGUCAGUCAGGGGUGAAAUCCCGGGGCUCAACCUCGGAACUGCCUUUGAUACAGCAAGUCUUGAGUUCGAGAGAGGUGGGUGGAAUUCCUAGUGUAGAGGUGAAAUUCGUAGAUAUUAGGAAGAACACCGGUGGCGAAGGCGGCCCACUGGCUCGAUACUGACGCUGAGGUGCGAAAGCGUGGGGAGCAAACAGG